rnacentral:piRNA from 1 species
CCCUACUCUUAGUGUGGUCGUUGUGUGG